UACGUAGGGUGCAAGCGUUAAUCGGAAUUACUGGGCGUAAAGCGUGCGCAGGCGGUUGUGCAAGACAGAUGUGAAAUCCCCGGGCUUAACCUGGGAAUUGCAUUUGUGACUGCGCGGCUAGAGUGUGUCAGAGGGGGGUAGAAUUCCACGUGUAGCAGUGAAAUGCGUAGAUAUGUGGAGGAAUACCGAUGGCGAAGGCAGCCCCCUGGGAUAACACUGACGCUCAUGCACGAAAGCGUGGGGAGCAAACAGG
rnacentral:rRNA from 1 species